GCCAUAUGAUGAGAAUACUAACUGAUUAACACCAAUGUCUAUAUGACAUUAAAACCAGAGUAAAAUCAAUGGUCUGGAAUCUUAGUGGGUGUCCAAUCCCUGGACACUUGCUGUAAAGGCAGACCUAGAUUAUUAGUGCUUACAACAAUGGGAUGGGUGUACAGAGACAGACACCCAUUAAAGACAGCACGUACAUWCAGUAUCMCUUGUACAUUAAACAUUGUUCYGUGAUGAACUUCUUUAGUAAUCUGAUGGCA